rnacentral:rRNA from 1 species
UACGGAGGGUGCGAGCGUUGUCCGGAAUCAUUGGGCGUAAAGGGCGCGUAGGUGGCCCGGUAAGCGUGCGGUGAAAGCUUGGGGCUCAACCCCGAGUCGGCCGUGCGAACUGCUGGGCUUGAGCACUGUAGAGGCAGGCGGAAUUCCGGGUGUAGCGGUGGAAUGCGUAGAGAUCCGGAAGAACACCGGUGGCGAAGGCGGUCUGCUGGGCAGUUUCUGACACUGAGGCGCGACAGCGUGGGGAGCAAACAGG